GACAGAGGAUGCAAGCGUUAUCCGGAAUGAUUGGGCGUAAAGCGUCUGUAGGUGGCUUUUUAAGUCUGCCGUCAAAUCCCAGGGCUUAACCCUGGACAGGCGGUGGAAACUACCAAGCUGGAGUACGGUAGGGGCAGGGGGAAUUUCCGGUGGAGCGGUGAAAUGCGUAGAGAUUGGAAAGAACACCAACGGCGAAAGCACUCUGCUGGGCCGACACUGACACUGAGAGACGAAAGCUAGGGGAGCGAAUGGG
rnacentral:rRNA from 1 species